GUGAGGAAUAUUGGUCAAUGGGCGAGAGCCUGAACCAGCCAAGUCGCGUGAAGGAAGAAGGAUCUAUGGUUCGUAAACUUCUUUUGCAGGGGAAUAAAGUGCGGGACGUGUCCUGUUUUGUAUGUACCCUGAGAAUAAGGAUCGGCUAACUCCGUGCCAGCAGCCGCGGUAAUACGGAGGAUCCGAGCGUUAUCCGGAUUUAUUGGGUUUAAAGGGUGCGUAGGUGGUUUGAUAAGUCAGCGGUGAAAGUUUGCAGCUUAACUGUAAAAAUGCCGUUGAAACUGUCGGACUGGAGUGUAAAUGAGGUAGGCGGAAUGCGUGGUGUAGCGGUGAAAUGCAUAGAUAUCACGCAGAACUCCGAUUGCGAAGGCAGCUUACUAAGCUACAACUGACACUGAAGCACGAAAGCGUGGGGAUCAAACAGGAUUAGAAACCCCUGUAGUCC
rnacentral:rRNA from 1 species